CACGUAGGGUGCGAGCGUUGUCCGGAAUUAUUGGGCGUAAAGAGCUCGUAGGCGGUCCAUCACGUCGGGAGUGAAAAGCUGGGGCUUAACCCCAGUCCUGCUUCCGAUACGGGCAGGCUAGAGUUCGGUAGGGGAGACUGGAAUUCCUGGUGUAGCGGUGAAAUGCGCAGAUAUCAGGAGGAACACCGGUGGCGAAGGCGGGUCUGCUGGGCCGAUACUGACGCUGAGGAAGCGAAAGGCGUGGGGAGCGAACAGG
rnacentral:rRNA from 1 species